AAUACCACCCUUUAAUGUUUGAUGUUCUAACGUGGACCCGUGAUCCGGGUUGCGGACAGUGUCUGGUGGGUAGUUUGACUGGGGCGGUCUCCUCCUAAAGAGUAACGGAGGAGCACGAAGGUUGGCUAAUCCUGGUCGGACAUCAGGAGGUUAGUGCAAUGGCAUAAGCCAGCUUGACUGCGAGCGUGACGGCGCGAGCAGGUGCGAAAGCAGGUCAUAGUGAUCCGGUGGUUCUGAAUGGAAGGGCCAUCGCUCAACGGAUAAAAGGUACUCCGGGGAUAACAGGCUGAUACCGCCCAAGAGUUCAUAUCGACGGCGGUGUUUGGCACCUCGAUGUCGGCUCAUCACAUCCUGGGGCUGAAGUAGGUCCCAAGGGUAUGGCUGUUCGCCAUUUAAAGUGGUACGCGAGCUGGGUUUAGAACGUCGUGAGACAGUUCGGUCCCUAUCUGCCGUGGGCGCUGGAGAACUGAGGGGGGCUGCUCCUAGUACGAGAGGACCGGAGUGGACGCAUCACUGGUGUUCGGGUUGUCAUGCCAAUGGCACUGCCCGGUAGCUAAAUGCGGAAGAGAUAAGUGCUGAAAGCAUCUAAGCACGAAACUUGCCCCGAGAUGAGUUCUCCCUGACCCUUUAAGGGUCCUGAAGGAACGUUGAAGACGACGACGUUGAUAGGCCGGGUGUGUAAGCGCAGCGAUGCGUUGAGCUAACCGGUACUAAUGAACCGUGAGGCUUAACCUUACAACGCCGAAGGUGUUU
rnacentral:rRNA from 1 species